rnacentral:rRNA from 1 species
UAGGGAAUCUUCCACAAUGGGCGAAAGCCUGAUGGAGCAACGCCGCGUGAGUGAUGAAGGCCUUCGGGUUGUAAAACUCUGUCAUUCGGGACGAACCGGAGUCUGAGGAAAUGCAGACUCUCUGACGGUACCGGAGGAGGAAGCCCCGGCUAACUACGUGCCAGCAGCCGCGGUAAUACGUAGGGGGCAAGCGUUGUCCGGAUUCACUGGGCGUAAAGCGCGCGCAGGCGGUGAUGUAAGUCUGAGGUGAAAACCCGAAGCUCAACUUCGGGACUGCCUUGGAUACUGCGUGACUUGAGGAUAGGAGAGGCAAGGGGAAUUCCACGUGUAGCGGUGAAAUGCGUAGAGAUGUGGAGGAACACCUGUGGCGAAGGCGCCUUGCUGGCCUAUUUCUGACGCUGAGGCGCGAAAGCGUGGGGAGCAAACAGG